UACGGAGGGAGCUAGCGUUGUUCGGAUUUACUGGGCGUAAAGGGCGCGCAGGCGGCUAUCCAAGUCAGGCGUGAAAGCCCCGGGCUUAACCUGGGAGGUGCGUCUGGGACUGGGUGGCUAGAGUUCGGGAGAGGAGAGUGGAAUUCCCAGUGUAGAGGUGAAAUUCGUAGAUAUUGGGAAGAACACCGGUGGCGAAGGCGGCUCUCUGGACCGAGACUGACGCUGAGGCGCGAAAGCGUGGGGAGCAAACAGG
rnacentral:rRNA from 1 species